CCUACGGGAGGCAGCAGUGAGGAAUAUUGGUCAAUGGACGAGAGUCUGAACCAGCCAAGUCGCGUGAAGGAUGACUGCCCUAUGGGUUGUAAACUUCUUUUAUAUGGGAAUAAAAUGUUCCACGUGUGGCCUUUUGUGUGUACCAUAUGAAUAAGGAUCGGCUAACUCCGUGCCAGCAGCCGCGGUAAUACGGAGGAACCGAGCGUUAUCCGGAUUUAUUGGGUUUAAAGGGUGCGUAGGUGGAUUGUUAAGUCAGUUGUGAAAGGUUGCGGCUCAACCGGAGAAUUGCAGUUGAAACUGGCAGUCUUGAGUACAGGAGAGGUAUGCGGAAUGCGUGGUGUAGCGGUGAAAUGCUUAGAUAUCACGAAGAACUCCGAUUGCGAAGGCAGCACACUGG
rnacentral:rRNA from 1 species